UACGAAGGGGGCAAGCGUUGUUCGGAAUUACUGGGCGUAAAGCGCACGUAGGCGGAUUUGUAAGUAAGGGGUGAAAUCCCCAGGCUCAACCUGGGAACUGCCUUCUAGACUGCAAGUCUCGAGAUCAGGAGAGGCGAGUGGAAUUCCGAGUGUAGAGGUGAAAUUCGUAGAUAUUCGGAGGAACACCAGUGGCGAAGGCGACUCGCUGGACUGAUACUGACGCUGAGGUACGAAAGCGUGGGGAGCAAACAGG
rnacentral:rRNA from 1 species